GAUGAACGCUGGCGGCGUGCUUAACACAUGCAAGUCGAACGGAAAGGCCCAAGCUUGCUUGGGUACUCGAGUGGCGAACGGGUGAGUAACACGUGGGUGAUCUGCCCUGCACUUCGGGAUAAGCCUGGGAAACUGGGUCUAAUACCGGAUAGGACGAUGGUUUGGAUGCCAUUGUGGAAAGUUUUUUCGGUGUGGGAUGAGCUCGCGGCCUAUCAGCUUGUUGGUGGGGUAAUGUCCUACCAAGGCGUCGACGGGUAGCCGGCCUGAGAGGGUGUACGGCCACAUUGGGACUGAGAUACGGCCCAGACUCCUACGGGAGGCAGCAGUGGGGAAUAUUGCACAAUGGGCGCAAGCCUGAUGCAGCGACGCCGCGUGGGGGAUGACGGCCUUCGGGUUGUAAACUCCUUUCGCUAGGGACGAAGCGUUUUUGUGACGGUACCUGGAGAAGAAGCACCGGCUAACUACGUG
rnacentral:rRNA from 1 species